UCCAUCAGCAGGGGUACAUGAGCCUGCUUCUCUGAUGACCUUGGUGUUUGUAGCCCGGACUUGGGCUCUUUUUCAUUUUGGUUCCUCAAGACCUCAGCGGCAGCCCUGUUAUGCUUGGCUGGGUUUACUGGCUGGUGAGGAGGUAAGCGCCCUCUUCGCAGAUCCUGGGAUGAACAAGAGCUGCGUCCACGCCCCCACCCACAGCUGCCGGUGCCUGGCUGGGAUGGAAACCAGGCUGCUCAUCCAACAGAUCUCAGUGGAGAUUGGAAAGUGCUCCUCGGAGUAGCGAGUUGUGUCAUCGUUGGGAUGUGGAGAGAAGCCAGGCUGCCGAUGAGAACUACAGUCUUCCUGUCACCCUUGGUUUCCACCCUGACGGAAGGGCGAUGCCCGCGGCAGGGCCUGGACCGAGUGCUACCAGACGAGCAUUCCUGAAAUGGGGACCAGGAUGGCCAGAGCAUGGGAAGUAGACUAUCCGAAGAAUCCACCGUUCCAGGCAGUGUCUGGCUACAAGGCAGAAGAAUUUAACUCUUUAAUUCUGACUUAACACCCCUGGACAGUAGUGAGCACGCUUCCUGAGUCAUCUCCAAAGUCCUUACUCUACAUGUGAUCUCAGGAGAUCUAGAGGGGUGUGGGGCUAAUGGAGUACAUAAGAAACCUCAGGAAUCCUUUCCCUUUGGAUAUGUGAGCGAAUGAGCAAAGACAUCUCCGUGGACAGUGUGUGCUGAGGGGCGCGCAGAUGACUAGCCCCCUCACUGGAAACGGAAGCACAGGUCUGGUUGGAAGCAGAGUGGAGGGGGAUGGGAAGAGUGCUUGGCCAGGACUCAGCUCCAGCCUGGUCAGUGACUCUCGGAACUUGAGCUCAACAAGCUAUCUGAGUUUGCUUUAUUUCUAAGAUUCACCCAGCAGAAGCCAAUAUGACUUUAAAAUAGGCACGGUAAGCUAUUCUGUAUGCUUUACAAAUAAUAACUCACUUUAUAAAAAAAUAUACUUUA